UAACUUGAUCUCUCUUUUUCCUCUCAACUAUUAUCUUCUAUUUAAACCCCCAAAACAUUACUCAAAUCACCAAAUCAAAACCACCCUAUUCCUCUUCCUAUUCACCCCUCCCUCUUCCCAAUCAAAAGAAUCUCUCACCCCUUCUCUCUCCUACUCACAACUUCCAUGUCUUGCCAACCAACAUUCACAUGUCUUUGUUUCUAGUGAAAAAAAUAUAAACAAAGAUAAAAUUAUUUCAAACUUUGGUUCUCCACUAACAACUACACUUCUUUUAUCCACACACACACCAAACCCAUCUUCAUCUAUAGUAUUCACAAGCUGA